rnacentral:rRNA from 1 species
GGGUCAGUAGGUUGGUCGUGCCACCGGUACGUACUGGUCUCACUGAUUCCUCCUUCCUGAAGAACCGUAAUGCCACUAAUUUGGUGUUGCGGGGAAACAGGACUGUUACUUUGAAAAAAUUAGAGUGUUUAAAGCAAGCCAACGCUUGAAUACAUUAGCAUGGAAUAAUGAAAUAGGACGAUCGAUCCUAUUUUGUUGGUUUCUAGGAUUGACGUA